rnacentral:rRNA from 1 species
AGUGAACGCUGGCGGCGUGCCUAAUACAUGCAAGUCGAACGGAGUGGCGCACGGGUGAGUAAUGUAUAGCUAAUCUGCCCUACACUAGAGGACAACAGUUGGCAACGACUGCUAAUACCGCAUACUGAAGGAGGGGAUUGCGUCUGAUUAGCUAGUUGGGGGGGUAACGGCCCACCAAGGCGAUGAUCAGUAGCCGGUCUGAGAGGAUGAACGGCCACAUUGGGACUGAGACACGGCCCAGACUCCUACGGGAGGCAGCAGUGGGGAAUAUUGCUCAAUGGGGGAAACCCUGAAGCAGCAACGCCGCGUGGAGGAUGACACUUUUCGGAGCGUAAACUCCUUUUGUUAGGGAAGCGGUACCUAACGAAUAAGCACCGGCUAACUCCGUGCCAGCCGCCGCGGUAAUUC